GAUGAAGAACGUAGCGAAAUGCGAUACGUAAUGUGAAUUGCAGAAUUCAGUGAAUCAUCGAGUCUUUGAACGCACAUUGCGCCCGCCAGUAUUCUGGCGGGCAUGCCUGUUCGAGCGUCAUUUCAACCCUCAAGACCCCUUCGGGGGACUUGGUGUUGGGGACCGGCACAGGGGCCUGCCUGCUUGUCUUGCAGCGCCCUCGCCGCCCCCGAAAUGAAUUGGCGGCCUCGUCGCGGCCUCCCCUGCGUAGUAGCACAACCUCGCAACGGGAACGUGACGGCGGCCACUGCCGUAAAACAACCCCAAUUUUAUUAGAGUUGACCUCGAAUCAGGUAGGAAUACCCGCUGAACUUAAGCAUAUCAAUAAGCGGAGGA
rnacentral:misc_RNA from 1 species